CACAUGGCAUUACACACUUCCCAACAAAUUAUGGGAAAGCGCGAUAGUACAACAACAUACUUAUUAUGAGACCGACCUUCUCCAUCUUGAUGAUGCAAAAUGAGGAUCGAUCUUCUACCAUGGCUCUACGACCCAAUGGUCGUUGAUAUGCUUCGGUCUUCUAGCCAUGAUUCAUUCACCACAUUUUAGUCCACCACCUAAUAGGAAUCUUUUACAAAGUAAACUUUUGAAAGAAAUACUAAAAUUUUGAAAAUAAGUUCAAAAAAGUGGUUAGCACGCAACAUCACUUUCAAUGAAAAGAUGAUGAAGGGUCUCUAUCUUAUGAAUUUUACUACAAUGGCAAUAUGGCACAUAUACAGAGAUCAGAUGUAAAAACCAAAUUUCCUGAUGUGGUAUCCGUGUGAAUUCUCUGUUGAAAAUGCUUCCACUUCAAGAAGGAGAUCUCGGAAGGAGGUUUCUUUGUGCGAAUUGUUUUUACUCGUAUAAGUGGUAUUUCUAUGUCUUAUGAUAAUCUCAGAAACUAAUGUAGUGCUAGAAGAGCACGAUCGAUGAGCUACAUUUUCAAAUAGCCUUAUAUUAUUCUCAUUGAGCCAUUGUGAUUUAUUGAGUAUAAUAAUCAAUAGAUCAUGCGUCAACUUGUGCCGACCCUGUGUCGAGGUUAAGUUUCUCACCGGUCGAUUGGUACGAUGAAUAAGCAAAAAUAAUCUUGGGAGAAAAAGUUAGUACCACAUUAUCCCCUGUUUGGUUUAUUCUAGGAUUAAAAAUAGUACGGGUAAUGUAUACUUGUCUGAGGGUGGAAUAGUUAUCUCACGACAAGUUAUCACAGAAUAAACUAAUAAAAUUGACAAUCCCAGAAUUAAUACAACAUACCAAACAGAUAACAAAAAAUAAUACAAGAAUAACUAAUCUCAACAUAACUAAUUCCAACAUAACUUAUGUUCAAACAAGCGACCCCUGAAGGUAUUUUUAGUUUGACCUAAACAUAACUUCUUUGGAAAAUCAUUUUCCAGAAAUGUGACAUCUCGUGAUUCAAUCUCAGUAACACUUCCAUCCUCUAAUUCACCAAUGAACACAUACCCUUUGGAGUGUUCUGAAUAUCUUAUCAAGAUACAUUUCUUGCUUUUUGGACCUAAUUUACCAAACUUACUAAAUGAAUCUUUUACAUAUGCAACACAACCCCAAGCUCGUAAAUCCUUUAAGUUUGGUUUAUGAACAGUCCAUAGCUCAUAAGGACUGGAAGAAACUGAUUUAGAAGGCACUUUGUUCAAUAUGUAGGUUGUAGUCAAUAACGCAUCUCCCCAAAAAGAGAUAGGUAAAUUUGCCUAUGCCAUCAUGGACCUUAUCAUGUCCAGUAGUGUUUCGUUCCUCCUUUCUGCUACACCAUUUUAUUGAGGUGUGUACGGAAUAGUUAACUGUCUGCUGAUGCCCUUUUUAAUACACAAUUCUUCAAAUUCUUUUGAUAGAUAUUCAUGCCCUCUAUCGGUUCUUAAGGUCUUAAUCCUUUUGUCUAAUUAAUUCUCAACUUCAUUCAAAUAUUUCGUAAAGCAUUCAAGUGCUUCAGAUUUAUGAGAAAUUAAAUAGAAAUAACCAACGCGUGUGAAAUCAUCAUUGAACGUAAUGAAAUAUAAAGCACCAGACCUAGCCCUCACGUUCAUUGGACCACAUAUAUCAGAAUGAAUUAAUUGCAAUAGAAGAUCAGCUCUCUUAGCCUUUCCAAUUGGUUUACGUGUAAUCUUUCUGACAAGAUAAUUUUCACAAGUUGGCAUUUCAAUUUUAGAGAAAUAACAUAUAUGUCCUUCCUUAUCUAAUCUAUUCGUUCGAUCCUGCCCCAUGUGACCUAAUCUUGCUUGCCAUGUAAUAACAUCAACAUCAUUGUUACUAGAAUAACAUACCAUAAUACAACGAUCAACAUAAUAGUUAUAUGUAGAAGGAUUACAAUCUAACAUAACAAAAUCAUUGUCAUACCUCCUUUUUACUACCCCCGAAAGGGAUAUAAGGGAGUUUUUUCCAAUUUAAGUGACAAUAGAAACGGGAUUUAUUUAUAUUAAAAUCAGAGUCGCCACUUAGGAUAAUUUAUGGUGUCCCAAGUCACCGGCUUAAAAUCCCGAAUCGAGGAAGAUGACUCUUAUUUAUGGUCUGCGAACACAGAAAUCCGGGUAAGGAAUUCUGCUAACCCGAGAGAAGGAUUUAGGCAUUCCCGAGUUUCUUGGUUUUAGCACGGUAGCUUUUAUCAUACUUGGCUCAUUAAAAUUGUCUAAUUACUCAUUUUAGAACAUGUGUGCAUUUGCCUCUUUUAAUUAAGAAAUUAUCUUAAAACAGGUCACACAUACGUGUACCAUUUGUUUUGGCGCAUCAAAAAUCAUGUCAUGCAAACGUGUCCACAAUUAAUAACGCUCUAUUAUUAUUAAGAAAGUUUAGUCAAAGUUGCGCGAACGCAUACUCCGAUUUUGUUUUUAGGAUCGUAAUUAUGUCACGUGAACGUGUCCACAAUCACGACAAUAGAUUAUAAAAUACGCCUAAAGAAUUCUAACCAUAUUCAAUUUUUGAAAUCAUAAUCGUGUCACGCGAACGUGUACAUAAUUACGAUAAACUAAUUAAUGCGCGUCUAAAAGCAUUUCUACGAUGUUUAUGAAUAUUAACGACCGAAGCAUGCUCCUAACGAUCGAAAGAGUAUAGCGAAAUAAAAAAACUAAAAGAAAUGAUCCAAAGCUCCACUUGUUAUAGCACUUUCGGUUGUCUGCCGUGACAAACAACUUGCGUCAAGAAGCCAAAAUCUAUUUUUUUAAUCUUAAAUCCAAUCACUAUUAUUGCUGGUUUUAUAUUCUAAACAAGUAUCCAAAAGAAUAAUUAACUAAAUGGAUCAUAUGCAUUCACACUUCAAAUAAAAAUAAAAGAAUUAACUAAUUCAUGUUCGUUCCCAAAGUCUGCAUCAAAUGAAAACUUCAACAUAAAUGAACCAAAUUAUGAGAGUCUCAAACAAAUAACGAAAAAAACAUAACAAUCACGUGGAAUUCAUAAUCGUCAAAGCUUAAAAACUAGGAAACAAAAAGGAAACUUAAGAUUAAAGUAAGAAAUUGACCUCAAAGAUUGACAUCUUUUCCAAUUACAAUAGCGAUAUACGAAUGGUGAACCGGGACCGAACUCAACCGGAAAAGUGAACCAGGAUCGAAACCUCUAAUUGAAAUUAUCACCGGUGACCUCGAAGCUCGCCGGAAAAAUUCAAACUAGAUCAGAAAGACGAAACCAAUGCAAUUCUUGCACAAAAACGGACCGGCCAAGCUCCUACCAUGGGUUUUCAAAUGCCAUUUCUAGAUUCUGCUCCUUCCUUUCGCUAAUAGUCCUCAAGUAAGUUAACUCCCCCAUUUUCAAUCCCCCUUUUGUCCUCCCCACUAUAUGUGUGUGCGUAUCUUUUGGUCUUUCGGGGGGGGGGGNNN
rnacentral:lncRNA from 1 species